GUUCCAAGGAACCGAAGUACUUGAUUCCAUGCUUCCAAGAAAAGCGUCUAGAAAGAGAAGUAGUGCCCGUACCGUAAACCGACACAGGUAGGUGAGGAGAGAAUCCUAAGGCCGGCGGAAGAAUCACAGUUAAGGAACUAGGCAAAUUGACCCCGUAACUUCGGGAUAAGGGGUGCCUGCGCGAGCAGGUCGCAGAGAAUAGGCCCAAGCAACUGUUUAGCAAAAACACAGGUCUCUGCUAAAGCGAAAGCUGAUGUAUAGGGGCUGACGCCUGCCCGGUGCUGGAAGGUUAAGGGGAACACUUAGCGCAAGCGAAGGUGUGAACUUAAGCCCCAGUAAACGGCGGCCGUAACAAUAACGGUCCUAAGGUAGCGAAAUUCCUUGUCAGGUAAGUUCUGACCCGCACGAAUGGCGUAAUGAUUUGGGCACUGUCUCAACUGUGAAUCCGGCGAAGUUGUAGUGCGAGUGAAGAUGCUCGCUACCCGCGAUUGGACGGAAAGACCCCGUAGAGCUUUACUGUAGCUUAGCAUUGAAUUUCGGUAUUGUCUGUACAGGAUAGGUGGGAGACUGGGAAACCAGAGCGUCAGCUUUGGCGGAGUCACCCUUGGGAUACCACCCUGAUAGUACUGAGGUUCUAACUGGAUGCCAUGAAUCUGGUGACAGGACAUUGUUAGGUGGGCAGUUUGACUGGGGCGGUCGCCUCCGAAAGUGUAACGGAGGCGCCCAAAGGUUCCCUCAGAACGGUCGGAAAUCGUUCGAAGAGUGCAAAGGCAGAAGGGAGCCUGACUGCGACACCCACAAGUGGAGCAGGGACGAAAGUCGGGCUUAGUGAUCCGGUGGUACCUCGUGGGAGGGCCAUCGCUCAACGGAUAAAAGCUACCUCGGGGAUAACAGGCUGACCUCCCCCAAGAGUCCACAUCGACGGGGAGGUUUGGCACCUCGAUGUCGGCUCGUCGCAUCCUGGGGCUGAAGUAGGUCCCAAGGGUUGGGCUGUUCGCCCAUUAAAGCGGCACGCGAGCUGGGUUCAGAACGUCGUGAGACAGUUCGGUCCCUAUCCGUCGCGGGCGUAGGAAAUUUGAGAGGAGCUGUCCUUAGUACGAGAGGACCGGGAUGGACUGACCUCUGGUGCACCAGUUGUUCCGCCAGGAGCACAGCUGGGUAGCUAAGUCGGGAAGGGAUAAACGCUGAAAGCAUCUAAGCGUGAAGCCCACCUCAAGAUAAGAUUUCCCAUAGCAUAAGCUAGUAAGACCCCUUGAAGAACACAAGGUUGAUAGGUCAGAGGUGUAAGUGUGGUAACAUAUUUAGCUGACUGAUACUAAUAGGUCGAGGGCUUGACC
rnacentral:rRNA from 1 species